GAUGAACGCUGGCGGCGUGCCUAAUACAUGCAAGUCGAGCGAACAGACGAGGAGCUUGCUCCUCUGACGUUAGCGGCGGACGGGUGAGUAACACGUGGAUAACCUACCUAUAAGACUGGGAUAACUUCGGGAAACCGGAGCUAAUACCGGAUAAUAUAUUGAACCGCAUGGUUCAAUAGUGAAAGACGGUUUUGCUGUCACUUAUAGAUGUAUCCGCGCCGCAUUAGCUAGUUGGUAAGGUAACGGCUUACCAAGGCAACGAUGCGUAGCCGACCUGAGAGGGUGAUCGGCCACACUGGAACUGAGACACGGUCCAGACUCCUACGGGAGGCAGCAGUAGGGAAUCUUCCGCAACGGGCGAAAGCCUGACAGAGCAACGCCGCGUGAGUGAUGAAGGUCUUCGGAUCGUAAAACUCUGUUAUUAGGGAAGAACAAAUGUGUAAGUAACUAUGCACGUCUUGACGGUACCUAAUCAGAAAGCCACGGCUAACUACGUG
rnacentral:rRNA from 1 species